rnacentral:lncRNA from 1 species
CUAUAAAGAGCAAGAGAGUGUCCUUUCAACCUCAAGCCCUUCUCAUGAAUGAGUGUUAAUCUCAUUCAUGAGAGAAGGGUGGAGACUUCAUAAUUAAAUCACCUCCCAAAGGUCACACCUUUUAAUGCUGUUGAAUUGGGGAUUAAGUUUCAACAAAAAUGUUGAAGGGAACAUCAUCAUUCAAACCAUUGAAAUCCUCCAUCCCAGAGUGAUAUAUCUUGAAAAUUCACUUCAUUUGAGAGUCAUUUGUUUCUUGAUAACUGUUUUCCAGUUGCUACAUACUUCAUUAAAUUGAUGCAAAGGACAAUCUGUUCAUUGCGCUCAAAAUUUUAGAGAAAGACAUGAGAAAUGAUGAAGAAGUGGAUGAUUGACAGAGAGUUCAGCUGAGUUUCAGUUUGGUGAGAGGAUGUCUAAUAUACAGGGCACUCCAGGAGUGGGCCUAGCAGCCUUAGCUGGAUGAGGGGGUCCCAUGGAAGAGGAUUGCCUAACACAUGAUUUUGAACUUCAUGCUUACAGACCCGCGAAUGUGUUUCUCAACGACCUGGGAACCAUCUCCGAAAUGUCAUCAUCAAUGGAGAUGGCACCUACCUACCUCUCAGUUUCUGUGGGAGGGUAGCAGCCUAACUUUGGAAGGUCUUCGUGGACAAUACGUCCAUGCAGCUGUGUCAUCUCCUAUAAUAACAUCACCUCCUGCUGGAAUACCUCCUGAAGAACCCGCUUGAGGCUGUUUAAAAUGGUUAACUUUUUUUAUUUUUAAUAUAUAUGUAGAAGAAGUAGACUCUAAAAUAAUGACAAAAGUAUGGUGUAGUAAAUACAUAAACCAGAAACAUGGUCAUUUAUUAUCAGUAUUAAGUAUUAUGUACUGUAUAAAAUUGUAUUGCUAUACUUUUAUACUACUACUAACACAGUAGGUUUGUUUACACCAGCAUCACCACAAACACAUAAGUAAUGCAUUGGGCUAGGACAUUAAGAUAGCUUGUCACCUAUUCUAUCAAUAUGUGAUGAAAAUUUUUCAGUUCCAUUUUAAUCUUAUGGAACCACUGUUGUCUAUGCGGCCUGUCGUUGACCCAAAUGUCAUUAUGUAGUGCAUAACUGUACUAACACUGAGAAAAACUGAGUGUUUGUAUUUUAGAGUUAAGCACUGAUACGUUUACAAAUAAAAUAAUAUCUGACAUUUGUUUCAAAGUAAUCUGGAUAAGAGGAUAUGGUAAGAACAUAUAUAAAGUAAGAUUGACCACGGGUUGAUAAUGUUUGAAGCUAAGUGGUAAAUAAUCUUUGUUCCAACCUUUGUGUAUAGUGGUUCUCAAAGAUGAUCCCUGCACUGGCAGCAACAGCAUCAUUUGAGAUCUUGUUUGAAAAGCAAACUCUGAGGAAACCACAUAUUUUGUAACCAAAACUCUGCACAUGAGGCCCAUUAGCCUGUGGUUUCACAAGCCCUUUAGGUAAUUUUGAUCCAAGCUAAUGUUUCUGAAUCACUGCUCUAGUAAAAAUAACAUAGAAGAUUGCAUGUAUUUGUAGAGACAUGACAUUUGUAUAUUUUUAAGUUAUUCAUAAUACAACGAAAAAUAAUGAAAACACCCAGGACAAAUGUUUCACUGGAAAAAUUUGAAUAAAGUUUGCAGACAUAAUUCUAAUCUUAAACACUUCCAAAAGACAGAAAAGGAUCUAUUCCCCAACCCAGUCUGAGAGUAGAAAAUCUUAGCCCUGGAAGUGAACAAAGAGUAUGAUAGAACUAUCAAAGCCAGUCUCACUUAUGAACAAAAGAUCCAGUAAUCUUAAGAAGUUAAGUAAAUCUAGCAUUAUGUAAAAAUAAUAAAAAUACAGCAGAACGAAGUUGUAUUUAUCCUAAAAAUGAAAGUUGAUUUAACAUUAGAAACACUUUAAAAAGCAGGGAGGAUUAAAGGAGUUUGUUUAUUCUUAAUAUAUUCUGUUUGUUUAUUUCAGUGUUUUUAUAUGAGUAUCCUUAAAUUUUUAAACUGUGUUAAGAUGCAUGCUUAUAAUUGUUUUACUUUUCUGACUGGAAGAUAAACCUAAAUAAAGGUUGUGAAAAAGA